CCUACGGGGGGCAGCAGUGGGGAAUAUUGCACAAUGGGGGAAACCCUGAUGCAGCGACGCCGCGUGAGGGAAGAAGUACCUCGGUAUGUAAAGCCCUAUUAGCAGGGAAGCAAAUGACGGUACCUGAGGAAGAAGCACCGGCUAACUACGUUCCAGCAGCCGCGGUUAUACGGCGGGAGCAAGCGUUAUCCGAAUUUACUGGGUGUAAAGGGAGCGUAGACGGCAGAGCAAGUCCGGAGUGAAAGGCGGGGGCUCAACCGCCGGACUGCUGUUGAAACUGUACGGCUGGAGUGCAGGAGAGGGAAGUGGAAUUCGUGGUGUAGCGGUGAAAUGCGUAGAUAUCAGGAGGAACACCAAUGGCGAAGGCGGCUUACUGGACCGUAACUGACGCGGAGGCUCGAAAGCGUGGGGAGCAAACAGGAUUAGAUACCCCGGUAGUC
rnacentral:rRNA from 1 species